CUGCGUUCGCGCUCUCCCCUGAC
rnacentral:piRNA from 1 species